AAGCAUUGUCCUCUGCCAGGACCCACAAGGUGAAACAGUCAACCCCAGGAGAUCUCAUGCACAGUGGGCUCAGCAUGGUGGACUUCACAUGGAACCUGGUAGUCAGUGAUUCCUGUGGUUCCAGCCUUCUUGCUGUUUGAGACUCAAGCCUGGUUCUGUGCUUCCUUCUGGUUUAUGACCCCAAAGGGGCUGCGCUGGUGUCCGUCCCACUUUCUCCCCUAAGUCUUCUGAAGUCCCCACUGUUACCAACCCAGAGUUAUGCUUCCCCCUGCUGAAAAACUGCACCGGGCUGCUGCGUGUCACCUGAGUGACAACAGAUGCUCAAACAGAAAGCCCCCAAAUGACUUCAGAUACUCUGGGACUUCCUGGAAGUUAGCCUAAGGCUGACUCAGUCUGUUCCUGCCUGUGACCCCCAAAAGAGGACAAGUAGGAAGAUGACAGAGACUUGGGUAGAGAGGAUGGAGCAGAUCUGAGCUGAACUUGUGGCUCUGUCACCUUGGGGAUGAGAUAUUUUGAGGGCAGAUAAAAAGCGCCAAAAUCCAGGGCAUCUGUGGUGAAGACAAGCGGUUCUGUCGAAAGGAAGAGCAAAAAAAUGAAAGCAAAAAAAAUUGCACCAGGGGAGGAAGACUGUGGAGACCUGUGGUGUGAGAGCAGAGGACACCACAGGACACACGAGCCGGCCUUGACCACACGAAGGCACAUGCUGGGGUCUGAGUUACGCGUGCAGCUCAUGUGACAGCAUCUCGGAUUCCACAGUGACGUUGUGUGCAUCCAGGUAAGAAACAGAACAAUGGGGCUAUGCCAGCGCGCUCCGGCUUUGAGUUUAGGGUAGGGGGAGAUUUCAGCCCCGUCGUUCUGUUUGGUGGAAGUCAUGACAAACACCUGCAGGU